UACGUAGGUGGCAAGCGUUGUCCGGAUUUACUGGGCGUAAAGGGAGCGUAGGUGGAUAUUUAAGUGGGAUGUGAAAUACUCGGGCUUAACCUGGGUGCUGCAUUCCAAACUGAAUAUCUAGAGUGCAGGAGAGGAAAGUAGAAUUCCUAGUGUAGCGGUGAAAUGCGUAGAGAUUAGGAAGAAUACCAGUGGCGAAGGCGACUUUCUGGACUGUAACUGACAAUGAGGCUCGAAAGAGUGGGGAGCAAACAGG
rnacentral:rRNA from 1 species